CGCACAUUGCGCCCCUUGGUAUUCCAUGGGGCAUGCCUGUUCGAGCGUCAUUUCACCACUCCAGCCUCGCUGGGUAUUGGGCGCCGCGGUCUCCCGCGCGCCUCAAAGUGCUCCGGCUGAGCCGUCCGCUCUCACCGCGUUGUGAUACAAUAUCGCGAUCGAGUGGGGAGGGCCCCGGCCGUUAAACUCUUUAACAGGUUGACCUCGGAUCAGGUAGGGAUACCCGCUGAACUUAA
rnacentral:misc_RNA from 1 species